rnacentral:rRNA from 1 species
UACAGAGGUCUCAAGCGUUGUUCGGAUUCAUUGGGCGUAAAGGGUGCGUAGGCGGCCAUGCAAGUCGGAUGUGAAAGCCCUCGGCUCAACCGGGGAAGUGCACUCGAAACUGCAAGGCUAGAGUCUCGGAGAGGAUCGUGGAAUUCUCGGUGUAGAGGUGAAAUUCGUAGAUAUCGAGAGGAGCACCGGUGGCGAAGGCGGCGAUCUGGACGAUGACUGACGCUGAGACGCGAAAGCGUGGGGAGCAAACAGG